UGCAGUCGAGCGGUAGAGAGAAGCUUGCUUCUCUUGAGAGCGGCGGACGGGUGAGUAAUGCCUAGGAAUCUGCCUGGUAGUGGGGGAUAACGUUCGGAAACGGACGCUAAUACCGCAUACGUCCUACGGGAGAAAGCAGGGGACCUUCGGGCCUUGCGCUAUCAGAUGAGCCUAGGUCGGAUUAGCUAGUUGGUGAGGUAAUGGCUCACCAAGGCUACGAUCCGUAACUGGUCUGAGAGGAUGAUCAGUCACACUGGAACUGAGACACGGUCCAGACUCCUACGGGAGGCAGCAGUGGGGAAUAUUGGACAAUGGGCGAAAGCCUGAUCCAGCCAUGCCGCGUGUGUGAAGAAGGUCUUCGGAUUGUAAAGCACUUUAAGUUGGGAGGAAGGGCAGUUACCUAAUACGUGAUUGUUUUGACGUUACCGACAGAAUAAGCACCGGCUAACUCUGUGCCAGCA
rnacentral:rRNA from 1 species